UACUUGCUAAUCAUUGGGAAAUAGAUGACUAGACAACAUGUUCGCAAAGAUCCUGGUAGUCGUUCUGGUAGCCCAGGUGGUUCUGGGUAAACAAGUUGAUAUAAAGGAUGAACACCAGAAGCCGAGGUUUAAGCGAAGCUCCUGUGCCGUAACACCGAGAAAACUUGGUGAUAUGACAGAAUUCAAAUACCCAGCUAGCGGAAAUUAUCAAAAUUAUGCUAGGUGUAAUUGGCAAGUUUGUCCUGGUACAACACGAGCACAAGUUACUAUCACGAAAAUGGACAUUGAACUACAGGCAUCUUGUGGAUAUGAUGCAGUAAUAAUUGAUAAUAUUAAAUAUUGUGGCACUUCACUCAGGACACUGGAUGUAUCUACAGAUGGUGGCUGUAUUGCAGUAGGAUUUACAAGUGACGGUAGUGUACAGAUGUCUGGAUUUGAUCUUGAAAUCAGACCAAUCCGAGAUAACUACAGCUCCGAUAGCUACCCAAGCUACAGUUCGGAUUCUUACCCAAGCUACAGCUCUCAUUACUACCCAAGCUACAGCUCCGAUCCCUACCCAAGCUACAGCUCCCAUUCCUACCCAAGCUACAGCUCCCAUUACUACCCAAGCUACAGCUCUCAUUACUACCCAAGCUACAGCUCCGAUCCCUACCCAAGCUACAGCUCCAAUUACUACCCAAGCUAUAGUUCAAGCUACUAUCCUGACUCUAGCCAAGGGGUUUAUAACGGAAACUCGAGCUCCGUAUUUGGAAUGGUGGGCGUUCUACACCACGCUCAAGAUACUUUACAAGACGCUCAGGAAACAGUUGACGCUAUUGAGGAGCAAUUACAACUGAAGUAGAUGAGCAUCUAUCAUUUAAGGAACGGAAUGCUGUACUUCCUGAAUAAACAUCUAAGCAAA